AAGAUGAAAAAUGUAGUUUGGGUCAUGUUUUCAAACUAUAUGUUGGAUGGGGCAGUAGUAUUCUUUUUAAUCCCACAAAGUCCUCAGCCAGACACCACAUGCAGUGUCACAAUAUGUGUUUAACACAUUCUGUUUCUGUUGGAAUCUGUUAUUUUAUCAUGUAGACUUAAUCCAUAAUUUGUCAGUAUCUGUCUAAAUGCAUUAUUCAAAUGAAUGUUACCUUAUUAGGACAAAUAAAGCCCGCAUGUGAGUACUGAUCUGGGCAUCUAAUUUUAGCAACCUUGUUUAUGUGGCUAAAAUCAGAUACCGUUAUUUUUCCUGUUUUGUUCUGUCCUCCAUUUUCAGAUAUCUACAUAAAGUAUUUAGUGAAAUUUAAAAAACAACAGCAAAAAUACCCUUCUGUAAUGUACCUUUUUAAUGUGGUGGAAUUUUUAAUAUAUUAUAUUAUUGUAUUAUACUUUGCAAGAAACACUCAAGAAAGUCAUGCUAAUUAGGUCAAUUCUCAUAUUGCUUUGUUCUGUACAGCUAAACCCUGAUUUUUUUAAUUUCCGAUUUUAUACGGUUUAUUUUUAUCUGAAAUUUUUUUUCUCCCUGUCUAUCCCUCAAGCCUAAUAGUAGGCGAUUGUGAUUCCCCAUAAUUUUACAACAUUUUGUAUGUUCCAUGAGGCAUUUGUAAAAUCCAUGUUUACCUGUUUUUCAUUGUUUUCUAUUAGAAUUAUGGAAAAAUCCUAACAAAUUUUGCCUCUAGAUCUCUGAGUGCAUGCCAUUCUUCACAGUUCAAUAUAUUGUUUAAAGCAGAAAUGAACAAGGGCACAUCACGUAUACAAAACUGUGUAUUUGACUGUGACUUUUCGAUUAAGCUGGGAGUCUUCAUCACUUCGCACAUGUGGCCUGCCAAGGAGAACAGAGGCCCCGAUAUUGUAAUCAACAGAACAUCAAUCAUCUCUGGCUGCAGAAGCUUGCCAGCCAGGCCACCAGAUCUCUGAAGAAGCUUGCCAGCCAGGCCGAUUCUGUUGAACAGAUUGAUUACACUAUAUUGACGUGAUAUUUAAGAUCCCAAAGAAAAGCAAGCACUGAACCAACAGCUGCAUCAGCAUUUCAACUCAAAAACCAAUGUUAAAUGUUUUCAUUUUUGAAAAUAUGUUAAUUCUGAUGGGAGCUUAUGAAAAGGGCUCCCAGAGAGUAU